rnacentral:rRNA from 1 species
GGGGACAGGGUGACAGGUGGUGCAUGGUUGUCGUCAGCUCGUGUCGUGAGAUGUUGGGUUAAGUCCCGCAACGAGCGCAACCCUUGCCUCUAGUUGCCAGCAUUCAGUUGGGCACUCUAGAGGGACUGCCGGCUACAAGUCGGAGGAAGGUGGGGAUGACGUCAAAUCAUCAUGCCCCUUAUGACCUGGGCUACACACGUGCUACAAUGGGCGGUACAAAGGGCAGCGAACCCGCGAGGUGGAGCGAAUCCCAAAAAACCACUCUCAGUUCGGAUUGCAGGCUGCAACUCGCCUGCAUGAAGCCGGAAUCGCUAGUAAUCGCGGAUCAGCAUGCCGCGGUGAAUACGUUCCCGGGUCUUGUACACACCGCCCGUCACACCACGAGAGUUGCAACACCCGAAGUCGGUGAGGGUAACCCGCACGGGAGCCAGCCGC